GAAAGCUGUUUACAAAGAAGACAGAUCUUUUUCUUGUGACACCUAAAUGUAAUGUGGCAUAAGCUAAGAUCUUAAAGUUGUAGACUACUUGUAAUAUUAAACAUUAUUUGAAAAAUGUUUACUUCAACCGUAAGACAUUGACUGUAAAAAUGCUGUACGCUGUUUAGUUUUUAUAAAUUAAAAAAAAAAACACGGACAACGCCAUAUUAUUUACGCUGCAAAGCUUACUGGGUAAAUGAUGUCAUUUGCUUGUUCCUCCGAUGCAAGGCAGCAACCUCAGUCCACCCUGAAGGUUAAUCUUGGCGUACAGGUGCUAUUCAUAAAGUUAGACUAUCAUGAAAAAGUUGAUUUAUUUCAGUAAUUUCAUUGAAAAAGUGAAACUUGAGUAUGAUAUUCAUUCAUUACACACAGACUGAUAUAUUUCAAAUGUUAUUUCCUUUAAUAGGGGCUUGCCAUGCAAUGGCAAAUCCAUUACUCUACACCUAGUCUUUCUUUAUUUCUUUAUUCUUCUUCCAUCACUUUUAAUGUGGCUGAAACCGGAGCAUGCACCCCCACAAAGAUCAUAUUAAAAUGAUCGUCUUGGAGUGGAGAUGUGUGCUAUUCAACAACUUUUUGAUUCCAAUUACUACUGCGGAGAAAUUAACGAAAAACCGACCGCCACACACAUCCUGCCUUUCGGACAUCCGGACCAUCAGAGGGCGCAAUCCUCCCUUCAUGCUAUAGUGACAGAAGCAGCUAUCUCUCAUGUGACUUCUGAGUUUUAAUGUGACACGCUACAAUCUUCAGGUCUGUUCUCAGUUGGGUAAGUAUGUUUGCUUUUAUCUGAGAUUGAAGCCUUAAAGGUUUGUUUUUUAAUUUGCGGACGGUGUUGGCUCAGAGUUAUACCUGUUGAUUAGCCUUUAGCCUAGCGCCAUCCAUGCGGUUAAAAUGUGUCAUAUUUCUGAAGAAUUGUGCUUUAUGUUUCUGCUACGUUUGUUUACACUGUAGAGAAUGUUACUGCUGCACAAUAAUGUGCUACAAGAAGUUUAUUUACUCUUUAUAGUUGGUUUUCCGACGCAAUUUGAACAGGAUGCAACUCGUUUGGAUUUUCAAAAUAAGAGCGCAGUAUCUAGUUUAAUACUAAAAGUUGUACAUUAAUACUGCUGGUAACUUGACACAUUAACAGCUAACAUUAGCUUAUGACUCCAUGCUUCAUAAUAAUUUAAUGGUAACUAGUGAAUGUUAAAAUGUUUACUAGUUGAAAGGAUUCUGCUUUAUUUGGUUGUGAAAUAGAAUACCCUUCAUAACAAAGAUAAAAAUAAGUGUAUAUAAUUACUACACUGAUCUACUGACAUGUUUAUGGAUUUUAAUACAUUAAUUAAAUUUUAUAUUGAGCUUCCUGUAAACAUAAACAACUUUCUGUAAUUUGGAGAAACAGAUUCUGUCAGAAUUUCUAUGUUUUGUUAAAACAAAAUACUCAGAUUAUAUAUUUUUUCGAUUUAUAUUUUAAAUAAAAUGACAGCUUGUUUAAAGAAUAAUGUGACCUUCAACCACAGAGUUCCAGUUCAACACAAAACAAAGUGUUGCCUUUAAAGGUUUCUAUUGCUAUCCAAACCACUUCCUGAUCUUUGCAGGUGUAGCCCAGAGAAUGUAACCUGAAGAUACUGCAACACAAAGAAAAGUCAGGCCCUGUAGCUGGACCACAUCCUGGUCCUGGAGGGUCUGAAGCUCCUCCAUGACAGCGGCGUGUUCUUCGGCCACCUGCAUGCCUCGUUGUGGACAAGUGUGUGUCGGCUGGUGGACAUCGAGAACAACAUUCUGGGACUUCCCUACAUGCUGCGACCAGCUUUCAGACGAUUUAGGAAGAUUAACAUAUGUAAUCUGGAUUAAAGUAGCUUGGAUUAGUCGAACCAGCAUAAUCUAAACUAGGUUUUAAAGAAGAGAUAUGAAUCCUAAAAUACUGUAUGUGCAGCUAAGUGAGAGAUUCACAGAU